AGAGAGUUGGCUGAGUGGUCGAAGGCGCACGAUUGGAAAUCGUGUGAACGGGAAACCGUUCCGAGGGUUCAAAUCCCUCACUCUCUGCCA
rnacentral:tRNA from 2 species